rnacentral:tRNA from 1 species
GGGCGGUUAGCUCAGUUGGUAGAGCAUCUCCCUUACAAGGAGGAGGUCGUAGGUUCGAGCACAAUACCGCCCACCA